GUUGCAGGGUAUAGACCCGAAACCCGGUGAUCUAGCCAUGGGCAGGUUGAAGGUUGGGUAACACUAACUGGAGGACCGAACCGACUAAUGUUGAAAAAUUAGCGGAUGACCUGUGGCUGGGGGUGAAAGGCCAAUCAAACCGGGAGAUAGCUGGUUCUCCCCGAAAGCUAUUUAGGUAGCGCCUCGUGAAUUCAUCUCCGGGGGUAGAGCACUGUUUCGGCUAGGGGGCCAUCCCGGCUUACCAACCCGAUGCAAACUGCGAAUACCGGAGAAUGUUAUCACGGGAGACACACGGCGGGUGCUAACGUCCGUCGUGAAGAGGGAAACAACCCAGACCGCCAGCUAAGGUCCCAAAGUCAUGGUUAAGUGGGAAACGAUGUGGGAAGGCCCAGACAGCCAGGAUGUUGGCUUAGAAGCAGCCAUCAUUUAAAGAAAGCGUAAUAGCUCACUGGUCGAGUCGGCCUGCGCGGAAGAUGUAACGGGGCUAAACCAUGCACCGAAGCUGCGGCAGCGACGCUGAUGCGUUGUUGGGUAGGGGAGCGUUCUGUAAGCCUGCGAAGGUGGCCUGUGAGGGUUGCUGGAGGUAUCAGAAGUGCGAAUGCUGACAUAAGUAACGAUAAAGCGGGUGAAAAGCCCGCUCGCCGGAAGACCAAGGGUUCCUGUCCAACGUUAAUCGGGGCAGGGUGAGUCGACCCCUAAGGCGAGGCCGAAAGGCGUAGUCGAUGGGAAACGGGUUAAUAUUCCCGUACUUGGUGUUACUGCGAAGGGGGGACGGAGAAGGCUAUGUUGGCCGGGCGACGGUUGUCCCGGUUUAAGCGUGUAGGUGUGUGUUCCAGGUAAAUCCGGUUCACUUUAACACUGAGGCGUGAUGACGAGGCACUACGGUGCUGAAGCAACAAAUGCCCUGCUUCCAGGAAAAGCCUCUAAGCAUCAGGUAACAUCAAAUCGUACCCCAAACCGACACAGGUGGUCAGGUAGAGAAUACCAAGGCGCUUGAGAGAACUCGGGUGAAGGAACUAGGCAAAAUGGUGCCGUAACUUCGGGAGAAGGCACGCUGACACGUAGGUGAAGUGAUUUACUCAUGGAGCUGAAGUCAGUCGAAGAUACCAGCUGGCUGCAACUGUUUAUUAAAAACACAGCACUGUGCAAACACGAAAGUGGACGUAUACGGUGUGACGCCUGCCCGGUGCCGGAAGGUUAAUUGAUGGGGUCAGCGCAAGCGAAGCUCCUGAUCGAAGCCCCGGUAAACGGCGGCCGUAACUAUAACGGUCCUAAGGUAGCGAAAUUCCUUGUCGGGUAAGUUCCGACCUGCACGAAUGGCGUAAUGAUGGCCAGGCUGUCUCCACCCGAGACUCAGUGAAAUUGAACUCGCUGUGAAGAUGCAGUGUACCCGCGGCAAGACGGAAAGACCCCGUGAACCUUUACUAUAGCUUGACACUGAACAUUGAGCCUUGAUGUGUAG
rnacentral:rRNA from 1 species